rnacentral:rRNA from 1 species
AGCAGCCGCGGUAAUUCCAGCUCCAAUAGCGUAUAUUAAAGUUGUUGCAGUUAAAAAGCUCGUAGUUGAACUUCGGGGUUUACCCAUUGGUCAGGCUUAAUUGUCUGCACUGGUGAGAUGAAUCUCUACCUUCUGAGGAACUUUCAUGCCAUUUAUUUGGUGUGAUGGGAAAUCAGGACUGUUACUUUGAGAAAUUAGAGUGUUUAAAGCAGGCUAACGUCUGAAUACAUUAGCAUGGAAUAAUGAAAUAGGACGGACUGAUUCUAUUUCGUUGGUUCUAGGAUCACCGUAAUGAUUAAUAGGGAUAGUUGGGGGCAUUAGUAUUCAAUUGUCAGAGGUGAAAUUCUUGGAUUUAUUGAAGACUAACUACUGCGAAAGCAUUUGCCAAGGAUGUUUUCAUUAAUCAAGAACGAAGUUAGG